rnacentral:rRNA from 1 species
GACGAACGCUGGCGGCGUGCUUAACACAUGCAAGUCGAACGGAAAGGCCCUUCGGGGUACUCGAGUGGCGAACGGGUGAGUAACACGUGGGUGAUCUGCCCUGCACUUUGGGAUAAGCCUGGGAAACUGGGUCUAAUACCGAAUAUGAUCAUGGCCUUCAUGGGUUGUGGUGGAAAGCUUUUGCGGUGUGGGAUGGGCCCGCGGCCUAUCAGCUUGUUGGUGGGGUAAUGGCCUACCAAGGCGACGACGGGUAGCCGGCCUGAGAGGGUGUCCGGCCACACUGGGACUGAGAUACGGCCCAGACUCCUACGGGAGGCAGCAGUGGGGAAUAUUGCACAAUGGGCGCAAGCCUGAUGCAGCGACGCCGCGUGAGGGAUGACGGCCUUCGGGUUGUAAACCUCUUUCAGCAGGGACGAAGCGCAAGUGACGGUACCUGUAGAAGAAGGACCGGCCAACUACGUGCCAGCAGCCGCGGUAAUACGUAGGGUCCGAGCGUUGUCCGGAAUUACUGGGCGUAAAGAGCUCGUAGGUGGUUUGUCGCGUUGUUCGUGAAAACUCACAGCUUAACUGUGGGCGUGCGGGCGAUACGGGCAGACUUGAGUACUGCAGGGGAGACUGGAAUUCCUGGUGUAGCGGUGGAAUGCGCAGAUAUCAGGAGGAACACCGGUGGCGAAGGCGGGUCUCUGGGCAGUAACUGACGCUGAGGAGCGAAAGCGUGGGGAGCGAACAGGAUUAGAUACCCUGGUAGUCCACGCCGUAAACGGUGGGUACUAGGUGUGGGUUUCCUUCCUUGGGAUCCGUGCCGUAGCUAACGCAUUAAGUACCCCGCCUGGGGAGUACGGCCGCAAGGCUAAAACUCAAAGAAAUUGACGGGGGCCCGCACAAGCGGCGGAGCAUGUGGAUUAAUUCGAUGCAACGCGAAGAACCUUACCUGGGUUUGACAUGCACAGGACGUGCCUAGAGAUAGGUAUUCCCUUGUGGCCUGUGUGCAGGUGGUGCAUGGCUGUCGUCAGCUCGUGUCGUGAGAUGUUGGGUUAAGUCCCGCAACGAGCGCAACCCUUAUCUUAUGUUGCCAGCGCGUAAUGGCGGGGACUCGUGAGAGACUGCCGGGGUCAACUCGGAGGAAGGUGGGGAUGACGUCAAGUCAUCAUGCCCCUUAUGUCCAGGGCUUCACACAUGCUACAAUGGCCGGUACAAAGGGCUGCGAUGCCGUGAGGUGGAGCGAAUCCUUUCAAAGCCGGUCUCAGUUCGGAUCGGGGUCUGCAACUCGACCCCGUGAAGUCGGAGUCGCUAGUAAUCGCAGAUCAGCAACGCUGCGGUGAAUACGUUCCCGGGCCU